CUUGAAACACCGAUUCUCGUAAGAUCACUGAAGUUAAGCAACAUCGAGACUGGUCAGUACUUAGCUAGGUGACCGCUUGAGAAUACAAGAUGCUGUCAG